UGAGGAAUAUUGGUCAAUGGACGCAAGUCUGAACCAGCCAUGCCGCGUGAAGGAUUAAGGUCCUCUGGAUUGUAAACUUCUUUUAUUUGGGACGAAACAGGGCCUUUCUAGGUCAACUGACGGUACCAGAUGAAUAAGCACCGGCUAACUCCGUGCCAGCAGCCGCGGUAAUACGGAGGGUGCAAGCGUUAUCCGGAUUCACUGGGUUUAAAGGGUGCGUAGGCGGGUAGGUAAGUCAGUGGUGAAAUCCUAGAGCUCAACUCUAGAACUGCCAUUGAUACUAUUUAUCUUGAAUAUUGUGGAGGUAAGCGGAAUAUGUCAUGUAGCGGUGAAAUGCUUAGAUAUGACAUAGAACACCUAUUGCGAAGGCAGCUUACUACGCAUAUAUUGACGCUGAGGCACGAAAGCGUGGGGAUCAAACA
rnacentral:rRNA from 1 species